UCAAACGCAAGAGAUCUGCCUGCCUGGGAC
rnacentral:piRNA from 1 species